rnacentral:rRNA from 1 species
CGCCCCUGGAAUAAGAUCAAUGGGUUCUGCCUGCCCGGUGACUUUAGUUAAACGGCUGCAGUAUUCUGACUGUGCAAAGGUAGCAAAAUCAAUUGUUCAUUAAUUGUGGACUGGUAUCAACGGCUAGACGACAAGGAGACUGUCUCUUUCUACUGGUGCUGAAUUUUACUUUUAGGUGAAGAGGCCUAAUUUUUUUAGUGGGACGAGAAGACCCUAUUGAGCUUUAGCUUCUACUUAAGCUCUUUUAGGUGAGAAGUUUGGGUUGGGGCAACUGGUCUUAUUUUUAAAACAAGGCUAUUUUAUAAUUUGAUUUGAUUCGGUUUUUGACCCAAAAUAAUUUUGAUUAUUGGAAAAAGUUACCUUAGGGAUAACAGCGUAAUUUUUUCUGAGAGUUCUUAUUGACGAAGAAGUUUGCGACCUCGAUGUUGGAUCAUAGUUUCCUAGGGGUGCAGCAGCUCCUAAGGGUUGGUUUGUUCAACCAUUAAAGCUAU